GCGCGUCAMUCUGUGAAGACACCGAAAAAUUCAAAAAKGAAUGUGCAAAAUGGGCGGCAGCAGGCGAAUGCUUGAAGAAUGAGGAAUUCAUGGACAAACACUGCCGAAUGAGUUGCAAUAAAUGCAGCUGUAAAGAUACGAAUCCUAAAUGCCGUAAGUGGGAAAAAGAAGGAGAAUGCAAGUGGAACCCACAAUACAUGACAUUGCAUUGCAGAAAMGCAUGUCGUUUGUGUUAGAUAAGAAGCCAAAGCAAUAAGUCACAGUCAAAAAUAAUUGAUAGAAAUUAGUAACAACGUCAUAUACUCACAUAAUACUUACUUUUCGAAGUUAUAGAUUUAUUUAGACAUGUGAUUGCCAUUAGCACAUGUAAACGUUACUAAGAAAAAGUAUGCUAGACACAAGAGCCAUGUCAUACAUAAGACUAUAGAAAUUAUUCACGUUCAGCAGUAUUUAUAAGCAAUGCAAGAAUAUUCAGUUGCACAAGCAUGUUUAAAAGGUUUGCAAGUAUCGAAUAAAGAACAACUGAUCCCAGUUGUACAAAAACAAA